AGAAGCAGUCGGAGCAGGCGCGCCCGCGCAGGAGCGCUGUCGGGAGUUGCAGACGCUGAGGCUGAGUGGGUGGUUCUUCACCUUGUUGGAUCAGAGAUCCUUUAAGAAGGUCUAAGAAAGCUGUAGACCUCUUCAGAAAAAUGCUAGUAAACUCAUCCACACUAAAAUGUGAAGAUGAUUUCAAAGAGAAGUCUGCAGUUACCUGAGGAUAAACAGGUGAAUUCUUUCAAACAUUCAGAGAAGAGUUAACACCUGUUCUUCUGAAACUAUUCCGAAAAAUUGCAGAGCAAGGAGCACUACCAAAUUCAUUCUAUGAGGCCAUCAUCACCCUGAUACCAAAACCAGACAAAGAUACCACAAUAAAAGAAAACUACAGGCCAGUUUCACUGAUGAACACAGAUGCAA